rnacentral:rRNA from 1 species
UGGGGAAUUUUGCGCAAUGGGCUAACGCCUGACGCAGCAACGCCGCGUGGAGGAUGAAGGUCUUUGGAUUGUAAACUCCUGUCAGCAGGGAAAAAGGGAUAGGCGCUAAUACCGCUUAAACUUGAUUGUACCUGCAGAGGAAGCCCCGGCUAACUCUGUGCCAGCAGCCGCGGUAAUACAGAGGGGGCAAGCGUUAUUCGGAAUUAUUGGGCGUAAAGGGCGCGUAGGCGGCUUUUCAAGUGACGGGUGAAAUCCCUCGGCUUAACCGAGGAACUGCCUGUCAGACUGGAAGGCUUGAGACCGGGAGAGGUGAGUGGAAUUCCCAGUGUAGCGGUGAAAUGCGUAGAUAUUGGGAGGAACACCAGUGGCGAAGGCGGCUCACUGGACCGGAACUGACGCUGAGGCGCGAAAGCGUGGGGAGCAAACAG